UACGUAGGGUGCGAGCGUUAAUCGGAAUUACUGGGCGUAAAGCGUGCGCAGGCGGUUGGCGGUGUCCUGUGUGAAAGCCCCGGGCUCAACCUGGGAAUGGCAUGGGAAACUGGCUGGCUGGAGUGUGGCAGAGGGGGGUGGAAUUCCGCGUGUAGCAGUGAAAUGCGUAGAGAUGCGGAGGAACACCGAUGGCGAAGGCAGCCCCCUGGGCCAACACUGACGCUCAGGCACGAAAGCGUGGGGAGCAAACAGG
rnacentral:rRNA from 1 species